GCCCCCACCACGCGAACCUUGGUGAGUGACGUGGCGUAGCAGCUGGCUCUAGUAGUGGACAGUGCCAAAUGCCAGCUGUCAUAUGCAGGCGUGAAGGCAGCACGUGGCGUGGUGGUGGCGGUGGUGGAGGUGGAGAAGAAAUGCUCGCCAGGAGAGGAAAUUACGGCCGUGUUAUCAGUUUAUACAAAGACGGCAGUGAGGCCAGCCACGUUGUACGGUAUGCAGACUGCUACUGACGAAAAGACAAGAGUUCGCUGAAAUGAAGGUGCUGCGAUUUUCUCCAAGAGUGAAGAGGCUGGCGAUCAGAAACGAAUACAUCAGAUCCGCAACACACGUUCGUAGGUCGAUUUGGGAACAAAGAUAGAGGCGAAACUGAGGCGGCUUGGGCAUGUCAAGAGAAAAGACGAGAAACAUGCUGGGAGGAAGAUGCUGGAGAGAGCUGGAAAAGAGAGAACACCAAAGAGAAGAUUUAUGGAUGCAGUGAAAGAAGACAUGGUUGUAAUGUAUGCGAACAAGAAAGACGCAGCAGACGGAGUGAGAAUCUGCUGUGGCGACGCCUAACACCAGCAGCCGAAAGAAGAAAGUAACAGCGUGCACCGAACUGUCUCAGCAGUGGGAAAACCUUCUUAUUGCGAGACCACUCCGAGUCUUGAGAUGCUGCGAUAUAACUAUGUGCUCGUGUAUGCUGUGAUAACCCUUGACUCAUCGACUACCGCCAGCUGUAUGUCUUCUUAGUGUCGAUAAUGGUGUGCCUGUAGAGUAUAUAUAUACUCGUAUUGCUCUUUUAAGAACAUAAGAACAUAAGAAAAUAAGGGAAGCUGCAAGAAGCCGUCACGUUUACACGUGGCAGUCCCUGUUAUAUGUACUGACUACAUGUUAUCAAUAAAUUAGAUGAAUAGAAUAGACCCAGUAAUCUGGUUGUUAGUGCCAAGUCAAUAGGGAGUAUUAAAAGAUUAGACAUAUUUAUGAAUGGAAUUGAUAAGUGAAUAUAGGUAAUAUGUUUGAUACAGGGAGGCACGUAUGGACCUGAUGUGUUCUUUUUUUUUUUUUUUUAUGUAGGAGGGACACCGACCAAGGGC